rnacentral:rRNA from 1 species
UACGAAGGGUGCAAGCGUUAGUCGGAAUUACUGGGCGUAAAGCGUGCGUAGGUGGCUUUUUAAGUCUGUCGUGAAAGCCCUGGGCUCAACCUGGGAAUGGCGAUGGAUACUGAGGAGCUAGAGUACGGUAGAGGAUGGUGGAAUUCCCGGUGUAGCGGUGAAAUGCGUAGAGAUCGGGAGGAACAUCAGUGGCGAAGGCGGCCAUCUGGGCCAGUACUGACACUGAGGCACGAAAGCGUGGGGAGCAAACAGG